UGUGUAGGCGGGGCCGACAGUCAGAGGUGAAAUCCUACGGCUUAACCGUAGAACUGCCUUUGAUACUUCGGCUCUUGAGUCUCGGAGAGGUCACUAGAAUUCGUGGUGUAGCGGUGAAAUGCGUAGAUAUCACGAGGAAUACCAGAUGCGUAGGCGGGUGGCUGGACGAGUACUGACGCUGAGGCACGAAAGCGUGGGGAGCAAACA
rnacentral:rRNA from 1 species